rnacentral:rRNA from 1 species
GGGAAUAUUGCACAAUGGGCGAAAGCCUGAUGCAGCAACGCCGCGUGAGUGAUGAAGGCCUUCGGGUUGUAAAGCUCUGUCUUCUGGGACGAUAAUGACGGUACCAGAGGAGGAAGCCACGGCUAACUACGUGCCAGCAGCCGCGGUAAUACGUAGGUGGCAAGCGUUGUCCGGAUUUACUGGGCGUAAAGGAUGCGUAGGCGGAUACUUAAGUCAGAUGUGAAAAUCCCGGGCUUAACUUGGGAACUGCAUUUGAAACUGGGGAUCUAGGGUGCGGGAGAGGAAAGUGGAAUUCCUAGUGUAGCGGUGAAAUGCGUAGAGAUUAGGAAGAACACCAGUGGCGAAGGCGACUUUCUGGACCGUAACUGACGCUGAGACAUGAAAGCGUGGGGAG